rnacentral:rRNA from 1 species
GACAGAGGGUGCAAACGUUGCUCGGAAUCACUGGGCGUAAAGGGCGUGUAGGCGGGAAGGAAAGUCAGAUGUGAAAUCCCCAGGCUCAACCUGGGAACUGCAUUUGAAACUCCCUUUCUUGAGUACCGGAGAGGAAAGUGGAAUUCCUGGUGUAGAGGUGAAAUGCGCAGAUAUCAGGAGGAACACCGGUGGCGAAGGCGGGUCUCUGGACAGUUCCUGACACUGAGACACGAAGGCCAGGGGAGCAAACGGG